AGUUUUGAGCUAAAUAUAUUAUAAUAUUAGUUAUUUAUGGAAGGUGUUGUAAAAUCUUAUUAAAAAUUAUAUUUAGGGGUGAUAGGCCUUUCAAAAACUAAGAUAUCUUGAAUCUAAUUAAAAGUAUGUAGUACAUUUAACACAACUAUUAAGUGACUAGGCUUUAUAGAACUAUUAACUUAUUAGAGAUUUUAUUUACUAUAAUUUAAUAAUUAAGUAUAUAAGUAUAUUAAUAUUUAUUUAUUAUAAUUUAUAAGGAGUAAUUAGAUAAAAUUAAAGUUUAUAAAUUUUGUAAUAAUGUUAAUAUUAGUAUUAAGUUUAUAUUUAUAUGAUGAACUCGGCAAAAAUGCUUCUCAACUGUUUAUCAAAAACAUAACUAUGUGAAUAAAUACAUAGCGGUUUCUGCUCAA
rnacentral:rRNA from 1 species